UACGUAGGGUGCGAGCGUUAAUCGGAAUUACUGGGCGUAAAGCGUGCGCAGGCGGUGAUGUAAGACAGAUGUGAAAUCCCCGGGCUCAACCUGGGACCUGCAUUUGUGACUGCAUCGCUAGAGUACGGCAGAGGGGGAUGGAAUUCCGCGUGUAGCAGUGAAAUGCGUAGAUAUGCGGAGGAACACCGAUGGCGAAGGCAAUCCCCCUGG
rnacentral:rRNA from 1 species